rnacentral:misc_RNA from 1 species
CUCUAUGUAUGAUCAGUCGGCGAAUGCGCUGCGAGAGGACGGAACGGUGUGCGCGCCGCGGCCCGCUGUGCCGCCUGAACUCGGGACAGUGCGUGUGAGAGCGACUCGCAGCGGAGAUCGGAACGGGAGCGCACCAGAUAUCAUUCGCAUCAUGGAAAGAAGGCCAACGCCAUCUUACCGCAGACCCAACACAACAGCAGCUGCUUGCGAUGGCCCGAUGCUAAUUACGAUCGCAGCAAUCGUGGCAGCAUGACUGUCACUAACAGCGACGGUGACAGUGACAGUGACGUGACAGUGACAGUGACAGUGACAGUGACAGUGACAGUGACAGUGACAGUGAUGCUGGCGGGAUGACUCGCAAUGUCCGUCAACCCCAUCCGCCUGGAAGUCGACCGACACGCCACUCGGACCGGUAAAAGCGGUCUGUCCGAUCUCGGCGGGGUUCUGCCCGCUGCACCUGGAGAGGUGUCACGGCUCUCCGGGCUCUCUCUCUCCGCCCUCUGCCGACCCGUCGAGCGGCGCCGGCGGCUCUCUGUCGACCUCGGCCGCUCCGUCCUCGGGGUACACGCUAACACCCAUGUCCACAGCGUCCCCGCAUAUCACCUCCCACGGCCACCCGCCGCACCCGCUGCCCUCGCUGCACUGCGACUCAGAGUUUAGCACAGGUAUAUCCGGCCUGCCGCCCGUCAACCUGUACGACAAGAAGGCCAUGUUCUACCCGGUCACGCCCAACUAUGACGUCACCAGCGGUACACCAAUCAGCACGUACUACGACAGCGGUAUCAACUCGUACUCGGCUCCGAGCUACUCGAACCAGUGACUAGCGAAGAGCGGAGAGGAGAGAGCGUCUUUCUGGGUAUGCAAAUGACGCCGACAGAGGAGCGGGGCACCCCUCCGAAGGCAAAUGACGUCAUAAGGGGAUGGUUUGUUAUAAGCUAAUGCCAACGGUUUUUGUGAAAUAGUUAACCGAGCUGUUAUAGCUGCCACUAAACGGCAUUGGCUGUCUUCCGUCAGGCAAUGAAGUGCAGCAUCAGUGUAAUUAUCAACUCAAUAAUAUGCUGACAUUGUUUCUGAGCUCAAUGUUACCUAAAUGCUAACUGCCAACAGGUUCGCUGUUUGUUAUUUUAAUCAAUGCUAAAUCGUCGCUUGCGAGGAGCGUAAUCCUUCGUUGCCGGUUUGGCGUUCAUUUUUUCUGCAACUCGAGUUGCUUCUAAUGAUGUUUAUAUUAUUCCUAGCUCGAUGGUCGAGCACUGGGAAGUACCUAAUUGCUGAUAACGGAGGCCCCGAGUUGGUCAAAAAUGAUGUGGCCUUUAACGAAUUCGUCUUCAAUGUACGGCGUACUGCAACACAGGAGUGCGCCUUGUCUGCUGCGUUAUGGCACUCCUGCGCGAUAUUUGUCGCCAACUCUGUUUUAUAGCGUGUGUCUGCGCGAUGGCUGAUUGUUCACUCGGUGUUCGUAAUUGCUUCAGUGUUGUAAUGCGCUGCUCAAUAUGGGUUGGUGUGAAGUUGCCGCUGGGUGCUGCCCCGAUGACGUCACGGUCUGUUGUGUGGGCCGAUAGAUGAUGGAGGGCUACCGGGACCUGGUGUCAGAGUUGCAAUAAAUAUCGCCUGGACAUGA